rnacentral:rRNA from 1 species
GACGAACGCUGGCGGCGUGCUUAACACAUGCAAGUCGAACGGAAAGGCCCUGCUUUUGUGGGGUGCUCGAGUGGCGAACGGGUGAGUAACACGUAAGUAACCUGCCCUUGACUUUGGUAUAACUUCAGGAAACUGGGGCUAAUACCGGAUAGGUGCUCCUGCUGCAUUGUGUGGGUUGGAAAGUUGCGGUGGUUGGGGAUGGGCUCGCGGCUUAUCAGCUUGUUGGUGGGGUAGUGGCUGACCAAGGCGUUGUCGGGUAGCCGGCCUGAGAGGGUGACCGGGCACAUGGGGACUGAGAUACGGCCCGGACUCCUACGGGAGGCAGCAGUGGGGAAUAUUGCACGAUGGGGGGAAGCCGGAUGCAGCAACGCCGCGUGCGGGAUGACGGCCUUCGGGGUGUAAACCGCUUUCGCCUGUGAUGAAGCGUGAGUGACGGUAAUGGGUAAAGAAGCACCGGCUAACUACGUG